ensembl:misc_RNA Metazoa_SRP Metazoan signal recognition particle RNA
GCCGGGUAUGGUGGUGGGUGCCUGUAAUCCUAGCUACUUGGGAGGCUGAGGCUGGAGAAUCACUUGAACCCAGGAGGCGGAGGUUGCAGUGAGCCAAGAUCACGCCACUGCAAUCCAGCCUGGGUGACAGAGUGAGACUCCAUCUCAA